GGAAUGUUCUCCAGCUUCCCCAUUUGGAGAAACUGCAGAUCAUAGCCGUGGGGUUCGUGCAGUCACCUCAUGACGUCAGGCUAUUUCCGCUGACUCCACGACCAGCCCAGCCAACUUUCCCUCUAUGGAAGUUAGUCACAACAGUACAGUAGGAUUUAAAAAAAAAGAAAGAAACAAAACUUCGUGAACUUUCAACAGAAGGGGGCGCGACGACUUCCAAUUUGGUUGUCGUUUGCACGCAACAACGGGAAAAGGUGCGACAAACGUGUAAAGGGUCUCUGGAUAUAUCAGUUGCUUUCUUCGCAGCAUUUGCAGCGUGGCACCGUAGUGAGAUGGGACUGUUUCAAUAUACGUGUCUUGUAGUGUCCCUUGCCAUUAUUUCCACCGGAAUGCACGACGUGGCCGCUGUCCCGAUGGUAGUGUACAAAGUCGGUAAUCAACUAAGGCUCAAUCCGGUAUUGGUGCCGGUUUCCUCAACAGUGAUGCCCGUUGAUCUCUUAGAGAAACGACAUGACAGUGGGAGGCCAAGUGCUUCAGUUAAUGAGCCGAGAGCGGAAUACCGAAAAGCGAAACGCGAAAAGACGCAAUCCUAUUUCUGGCAACUCACUUUGUAAUAUUGAUUGGAUGCAGAAAUGCUAUGUGUACAUUAGGUCUGGUAAAAUUCUUCUGUUGACGUAUGACAUGAAUUUUUGCCAUUGACCGCCUCAUUGGAGAAGAAAGUGAUACAUUGUUAUCUAUCCCCCCCAAAAAAAGUUACGUAUAUAGCUCCAGUGAAAGUUGUUUUGUAAUAAACCCAACCGGUAAAAAUAACUCAAUUUCUGAGAGCUUUCGAUUCGUGUGGUGUUCGAUUUAGUACUUACUUUCUAUUCUCAUUUCCUCUUAGCGUUUAACCCUUAUUUGUGAUCUUUCUUACAGCCGUUUCACAUCCGUAACGAAUAAAAUGUUUUUUUUCUUUCUUA